AGUUGCCUACUAUAGCGGAUCCGCUCUAAAACUUUCUUCCGCUGUGGCAGGCAUAUUUCUGCUAUAGCGCCAUCGCUACACUGGUCCAAUGCCCGCCAUAGCGGACACACCCAAACCCGACUGACUGCGGUGAUGAGAAGUCUAUCGCUAUGGCGGUCCCGCAGCAACGGUACAUCCCCCGCCGCAGCGGCACCUCUGAACCAGUAAGCUCGCUAAUUCUUACAGUUUUUAACUCUACCACCCAACACUUCAUUCGAGGCCUCACAAACAAAACAUGCACGUUGAUAUAAAAACACCAUACGGACUCACCCGUGGCCUCGAAAUUUUCAACGGAGCUCUAAUUUCCUACAUCACCCCCUAAUGGACUCAACACAAUUAAAUAAUAAUCACACACAAGCCAAGUUUUCAGUUCUUAGACUUAUACAUUCGAGUUUCUAUUAGCUCGUUCUACCCUUGGGAAAGUUAUAUUUGGUAGGGUGAUCCUAGAUUUUUCAUAACGACCGGGAGGGUCAUUACAUGAUCACUCAUAUACAUACAUGCUAAUUGGUGUCUUUGCCCAAUAGCUAUGACCUGCAGGAGACUAAUGGUGUCCAUGUAGCCUCGCUCCGGAAUCUUACGUCCAAUCACGAGCCUUUAACUUAGGCCACAUCCUCACCCCUGUCAAAUGUGCCCAAAAUCUAGGUCACAUCCUCAGCCUUUUUCAAAUGCGUACUUUCAUAUAUAUAUAUAUAUAUAUAUAUAUAUAUAGUCACAUCACUUUUAACGAGUGAUUAUCAAGUAGUAUAUCAUUUUCAUCAAGAUCAUAUUAACUUCUCACCACUAUUGUCAUCAAAUUAUAGAUCACCACACAUCGAAUAAUGGCAUUUAACCCACAUUAUCACUCAAUCAAUAGGAUAUAGGAAUUCCAACCACACAUUAUACCCGAAGACUAGAUAUGCUUUCUCCUAUCAAUCUCAUAACACAUACAAUCAACUAAUCAAAGUCUAACUCAAGUAAAUCGUAACCUACCUUAACUGCAGAGCUGGAACAAUGCGAAUUACUCCGCUAUAGCCGUUUCCUUCCGUAAUGCCGCGGAACGCUCAAAGUCUAGCAAUUAAGAUGCUAAAUAAGUCACAACAUUCUAGUCAACAAUAUCAAUUCAAUAAACACCCUCCACUUUACCCCUUUCUAAUGGGUGAAUGCUUACUAGGCAUAAAUCAUCCUAACAUUGGCCUUAUCAAUCAUAAACUAUCAAUUUAUAAGGUUAUUCAUUCAAGUUAUCUCUUACAAGCAAUUUUUAUGGUCAAGCUACCAUCUUUAUGAAACCCUAAGCUCAAUUCACUUAGUUCAUAUCUCCAACAGUGCAAUUCUUGAUUAGAAGUGAUAACCCAAGCCUUUAGAUGAUAAUCACACAAUAAUAUUCAUAACCCACCGACCAUUAAAGGUCUAUUAAGUUCUAGGGUUACUAGUCCUCAAUUCACCGUUGUAGACCCAUUAGAAUGAUGAUAAUCUUAGAGAUGAAUGCGUAAUGAAGGAAGGAAAGGUUGAGACUUACCUCUCAAGAAUAUUCUUGCCCCAGCCUUAGAAUUUCAUCCUAGGCUCUUCUUGGGAAGUGUUUUGGAGUUUUAUGAAUAAAGAAUUCGGCUAAGUGUUUUAAACAUGGCUUAGUCGUUCUGUCCGCUGCAGCGGUCUCGUUAUAGCGGGCAAGGAGCUGCUGUAGUGGACGUCCACUUAAUGCCCACUUUCGCUGUGGCGAGCACAGACCCGCCAUAGCGCAAGCGCUACAGCGGUCCAGUGUCUGCCAUAGCGGACACCCUCAUUUCUGCUAAGUCCGCCGCGGUGAGAGAUCCGCCGUUGCAGCGGCCCCGCCGUAGCGGUGCCAUUGAACCAGUGAGCUCACUAAUUCCACCAGUUUUGUACUCUACCCUCCUAAAUUCAUUCGAGGCUUCAUAAACACAAACAAAAUAUGCACAUCAAUGUAAAAACACCUACGGACUCACCCGUAGCCUCGGAAUCCCUAACGGAGGUCUAAUUUCCUACGUCACCCUCCUCCCCCCCAAUGGAUUCAGUACAACCAAAAAAUGAUCACAGACAAGUCAAGUUUACAGUUCUUAAACUUCUACAUUUGAGUUUCUAUUAGCUCGUUCUAUCCUUCGAAAGGUUCUAUUGGGAGGGUAAUCCUAGAUUUUCCCUAACGACCGGGAAGGUCGUUACAUGAAGUUUCCUUGGGAAAAGAACAUCACUUAGGUAAGACUCUUAACCUUAUUCUCUGAGUUUAUUCUUGAUAUGCAGAAUUUUACCUCGCUUCGUUCAUUUAUAUGUUUGGUGACUGGACAUGGACUUGUAGGAAAGAAACACGGAUUUUGACAAAGUUAUUUCACUAGAUGCUAUUGGAGACAGAUUUUACGUUUCAACAUGCCUCAGGUAUAGUUAAAUGUACGGAAUAUCUGUUUCUAUUAGGAUAUAUGUAGGUGUUGAUGGAUGAUGUUGAUAUUCUGUCUCUAACUCUGGUUGUAUUGAUUCUCUUAUAUAUCUGAAUAGAGGUUCAAAUGGUUAGCUCCCUUACUGUAAGUAUCUCUGUUUUUAUCUUCUAAUUCAGUUCUGGUGCUUAUUGGUUAAGAUAUAGGUUGGGUUCUCUAAAUAGAUUAAUGUAAUUUUCUACAAGCCAGAGAAUACUAUUUCUGCAUACAAGUUAUCUAAGGAAUAUAUGUUGAUAUACUCUUGGAGUGAAAGGUUAAAAAUCUUUAAGAUAAGUUACACAUUGCAACUUCAGUCUGUAUCUUAAACUUUAGUAUACAUGUGCAUUUUCCAGUGACAUCUAUUGGACCAACUUGCACCUUGUGAACAGUUGAACAAAAUUGCAUACAUUUAACAUCCACAAGUUGGAUCAACAAUUUUCCUUUUAUAGACACAACUACAAACAUUUUCUAUUGCCACAUUCGAUACACUACGCAGUAUCUAACCGACCAUUAUUUCUUGAUUUUGUUACCAGUGAAAGAUCCGCUACUGUUUUUCAAUAUGGUUGGCUUUUUUAAUGCACUUGAAGCUACUUUUGGUUCUACUUGUUGGGUAUUUCAAUGUAUAUCUUCACUGUUGCCCUGGAUGUGGUUGCGUCCACGGUCGUUGCAUGCUCAUGUUAGCUCAUCUGUUCAGCUGUGAUUUUUUCUAGCUUCUGUUAGAUGAUCUACUGAUAAUUGAAUUAGCAAAUGUCUAUCUUUGUGAUGAGUUCAGGUACACAAAUACUUGAUGGCAACAUAUGAUUUGCUUUAGUUAUGAAUGUGCUCAUUUCCUCUUAAAAAUAUGCAGACAUAUUGAAGCUCUUCCCAUUUGUUUUAGUUGUGUUAUGUUUCCUUUGACUAUUCUUAUCUUAAUAUCAUGCAUUACUCUACCGGUAAUUUCUGCCGAAUGCCGCUAAGAAGAAGGUUACAGAGCAGAGGAUAUGCAUGAUAGAAAACGCUACAAAGCAGAGGGAAUGCAUGAUGGAAAACGCACCAUCGUUUCCUAGAUGUAAAAAGUAUAGCCUGCAGAUAGUUUUUGAAUGUGAUGUAAAUAAUGCAACCAUGAGUGUAGACAAUGUAGCACUUGCCAACAUAAUAUGAAUGGAUACUUCAUCUUGACUGUGUCA